rnacentral:lncRNA from 1 species
ACUUCAUCCCUCAACUGCCACUGUCGUUAUCAUCAUCCUAAACGAUAAGAGUAAAUAAUGGCAAUAUUAUUACAUUCGUGGAUUUAAGGGUAAUGAACCUCCCUUAACACUCUGUUUAACAAGCUGUUAAUUUCUUUGAUUUGGAGGAGGCCAAGGUAGCAAUUACUCAGGCACCAAAAUCUGGAAAUCCCCACACCAGCAGGUUCCUUGCACUCCGCUUCCUCGUUGGCUGGAGAGAAUUUGUUUCCAAGGAUUGUAGACCACAGCAAGGCUUCCUCAGGCUUGCAUACCAGGGUAUGCAGUGUCUACGGCCACUAUUUCAAAGAUUAGAGUUGACGCAGCAAGGUGGUAAGGUCAGAAAUAAUUUAGUAUUAAUAUCCUUAUUCUACAGAGCAUGAGGCAACUUCGCAAAGUGUGUGAACCUCCUACACCAACCUUAAAUACUUCAUUCAUCCAAUAAAUAUUUAUUUAGCACCUCCUACGUGCUAAUCACCUUGCUGGACAUGAGGGAUAUAAUGGUGAACUAAGAAAGACUAAAUUUAGCCGGGCACGGUGGCUCACGCCUGUAAUCCCAGCACUUUGGGAGGCCGAGGCUGGUGGAUCACCUGAGGUCGGGAGUUCCAGACCAGUCUGGCCAAUAUGGUGAAACCCCGUCUCUACUAAAAAUACAAAAAUUAACCAGGCGUGGUGGCGGGCGCCUGUAGUCCCAACUACUCGCGAGGCUGAGGCAGGAGAAUCGCUUGAACCCGGGAGGCAGAGGUCGCAAUGAGCCAAGAUCAUGCCACUGCACUCCAGCCUAGGCAACAGAGCAAGAUCUGUUUCCAAAAGAUAAAGAAAGACUAAAUUUACGCAGCCCCCUAGUAUAGCCUGUGGAUCUAUAGUAUCAGCAUCGCCUGGGAACUUGUUAGAAAUGCCGCUAGAGCUUCACUUCAGAUCUACUGAAUGAGAAUUUGCAGUUUUAACAAGGUCCCCAGGUGAUUCUUAUGCACAGUGAAGUCUGGAAAAAUACUGCCCUAUAAGGUCCUCCAAAAGAAGUGAUAUGGAACUCAGGAGUCAACCAGGCAAAGGGGCCAGUGAAGAGUGUUCCAGGCAUCGCCUAUAUUUAUGUCAUAUUUUCACUACCUUUUCAAAAGUUUUAUCUUUUCCCUCAUUCCCAUGAAUAUACACUUGUACUUUG